rnacentral:lncRNA from 1 species
GCAUCUUAUUCUCCACUUGAGUCACACCAAUCUUCUCCCUGAUAGUCUCAUUCCGAACUCUAUCCCCCUAGUCAGCCCACACAUCCAACGCAACAUCCGCAUUUCCGCCACCUUCAUUUUUUGAAUGUGGGAGUUCUUAAAUGGCCAACACUCCGCUCCAUACAACAUGGCCGGACGGACUGCCACCCUGUAGAAUUUGCCUUUAAGCUUGGGCGGCACCUUCUUAUCACACAACACCCCCGAAGCGAGCUUCCGCUUUAUCCAUCCCGCCCCAAUACGGUGCGAG